AUAUUGGACAAUGGGCGAAAGCCUGAUCCAGCACUGCCGCGUGAGUGAUGAAGGCCUUAGGGUUGUAAAGCUCUUUUACCAGGGAUGAUACUGACAGUACCUGGAGAAUAAGCUCCGGCUAACUCCGUGCCAGCAGCCGCGGUAAUACGGAGGGAGCUAGCGUUGUUCGGAAUUACUGGGCGUAAAGCGUACGUAGGCGGCGAUUCAAGUCAGAGGUGAAAGCCCGGGGCUCAACCCCGGAACUGCCUUUGAAACUAGAUUGCUAGAAUCUUGGAGAGGUCAGUGGAAUUCCGAGUGUAGAGGUGAAAUUCGUAGAUAUUCGGAAGAACACCAGUGGCGAAGGCGACUGACUGGACUAGUAUUGACGCUGAGGUGCGAAAGCGUGGGGAGCAAACAGG
rnacentral:rRNA from 1 species